GACGAACGCUGGCGGCGUGCUUAACACAUGCAAGUCGAACGAUGAAGCCGGAGCUUGCUCUGGUGAAUUAGUGGCGAACGGGUGAGUAACACGUGAGUAACCUGCCCUUGACUCUGGGAUACUGCUAGAAAUGGUAGCUAAUACCGGAUACGACCCUCGGAGGCAUCUCCAGGGGGUGGAAAGAAUUUCGGUCAAGGAUGGACUCGCGGCCUAUCAGCUAGUUGGUGAGGUAACGGCUCACCAAGGCGACGACGGGUAGCCGGCUUGAGAGGGUGACCGGCCACACUGGGACUGAGACACGGCCCAGACUCCUACGGGAGGCAGCAGUGGGGGAUAUUGCACAAUGGGCGCAAGCCUGAUGCAGCAACGCCGCGUGAGGGAUGACGGCCUUCGGGUUGUAAACCUCUUUUAGUAGGGAAGAAGCGAAAGUGACGGUGCCUGCAGAAAAAGCACCGGCUAACUACGUGCCAGCCGCCGCUGUAA
rnacentral:rRNA from 1 species